rnacentral:rRNA from 1 species
GUGCCAGCCGCCGCGGUAAGACGGAGGAGGCAAGCGUUAUCCGGAAUUAUUGGGCGUAAAGGGUCCGCAGGUGGCAGUUCAAGUCUGCAGUCAAAGGUCGGGGCUCAACCCCGGAAAGGCUGUGGAAACUGAACAGCUAGAGUACGGUAGGGGCAGAGGGAAUUCCCAGUGUAGCGGUGAAAUGCGUAGAGAUUGGGAAGAACACCGGUGGCGAAAGCGCUCUGCUAGGCCGAAACUGACACUGAGGGACGAAAGCUAGGGGAGCGAAAGGGAUUAGAUACCCCGGUAGUCCUAGCUGUAAACGAUGGAGACUAGGUGUGGCCUGUAUCGACCCGGGCCGUGCCGGAGCUAACGCGUUAAGUCUCCCGCCUGGGGAGUACGCACGCAAGUGUGAAACUCAAAUGAAUUGACGGGG